UGAUCCCUCCCUUUUAUCCCUCUUUUCAUCCUUUAUCCCUCCACCCUUCCAUCCUUCAUCCCUCCCUGCCUCUGAACACUCAGGAGCUCUUAGUGCACCUUCAGUCACCUUCAGGACCUGCAAUAGAUCCAGGCUUCUUUUGGCUUGGGGCAGAAAGCAUGGCUGGUUACUGUUCCCAGUGAAUUGGAGCCAAGCCCUUCCAAUCUCUUAG
rnacentral:lncRNA from 1 species